CCUACGGGCGGCUGCAGUGGGGAAUAUUGCACAAUGGGCGCAAGCCUGAUGCAGCCAUGCCGCGUGUGUGAAGAAGGCCUUCGGGUUGUAAAGCACUUUCAGCGGGGAGGAAGGCGUUAAGGUUAAUAACCUUGGCGAUUGACGUUACCCGCAGAAGAAGCACCGGCUAACUCCGUGCCAGCAGCCGCGGUAAUACGGAGGGUGCAAGCGUUAAUCGGAAUUACUGGGCGUAAAGCGCACGCAGGCGGUCUGUCAAGUCGGAUGUGAAAUCCCCGGGCUCAACCUGGGAACUGCACUCGAAACUGGCAGGCUAGAGUCUUGUAGAGGGGGGUAGAAUUCCAGGUGUAGCGGUGAAAUGCGUAGAGAUCUGGAGGAAUACCGGUGGCGAAGGCGGCCCCCUGGACAAAGACUGACGCUCAGGUGCGAAAGCGUGGGGAGCAAACAGGAUUAGAUACCCCUGUAGUC
rnacentral:rRNA from 1 species